GAUGAACGCUAGCGGGAGGCUUAAUACAUGCAAGUCGAGGGGUAACAGUCUUAAUUUAUUAGGAGCUGACGACCGGCGAACGGGUGAGUAACGCGUACAAAUCUGCCUUAUACUAAGGAAUAGCCUAUGGAAACGUAGAUUAAUACCUUAUGUGCCAGAGAUGGUAAAGCUACGGCGGUAUAAGAUGAUUGUGCGUCCCAUUAGCUAGUUGGUGUGGUAACGGCACACCAAGGCUACGAUGGGUAGGGGGCGUGAGAGCGUGGACCCCCACACGGGUACUGAGACACGGACCCGACUCCUACGGGAGGCAGCAGUAAGGAAUAUUGGACAAUGGGCGAAAGCCUGAUCCAGCCAUCCCGCGUGGAGGAUGACGGCCCUAUGGGUUGUAAACUCCUUUUAGAUAGGAAGAAACCCUAGGAUUUAUUCUAGGCUGACGGUACUAUCAGAAUAAGCACCGGCUAACUCCG
rnacentral:rRNA from 1 species